GCUGUAGUCACAAGGAGUUUGUACACGCUGUAUAUUAAAAUCUCUCCAGUCUAAGAAUAAAAAUGUUUCUUCAAUUAGCUCUCUCAGCUUGCUUGGUGGCAGUUGCUCUGUCCGACGGAUGGGGUGAAGAGAAGAAAAAAAUGGAAGGCGGUAUGUCCGAAUUUGAAAAAUGGGCGAUGGCCGAAAAGAAAGAGCAAUAUGAAAAGUACCAGAAAUACCAGGAAUUCGAAAUGUUCAAAGCCAAAUUGGCUAAAAUGCAUGAAAUGGAGAAGAAAAAGGCGCUAUAUGAAGAAUUCCUGGAAUUCAAGAAACACAAGGAACAAAUGAUGUCCGAUAAUAGAAACCCAAAACAAGGAGAAGAAGAUCAGGAUGAAGAUACCGUGCAGAAUGAAAUGAAGGAACAUGCAGAAAAAUUCGAAAGUGCGAUCAAAAGCUUCCACGCAGGCAACGAAAAAAUGGCAAUGAUGGUUACCAAAUCUUUCCUGGAAAUGUGUAAGUGCCAGAAUGACAUGGGAACGGAGCUAAUGCAGAUGCUGCACAAGGCAGACGGCGAUAAGUCUGGCAUGGGAGACAUGUUCGAAGCUGAAAUGCCCGAUUUUAUGGGUAAUAUGACUGCCAAGGCUCAUUUCUUACAGAAACUACAACCCGAACAAAGACAGAAGAUGAUGGUCUAUGGUCUUGUAAAGAGUAUGUGUAGUGGAGCCAAGACGUUCAUCUUACAUGCUAAAGCUUUUGAACAGAAGUACAUGAUGACACCACAUAGCAGCAGCAACAGCACAGCAAUGAUGAACUAAAUAUAGAAAGUUGGUAAAUAUCGAAGCCUGGAAUAGGAAUGAAGAAUGGUAAUAACUGGUAUGAUGAAAAGUUCAAUAAAUGUGUUUUCAAAAUUUCU